AAGAGACAGCGCCGCCGGCCGUGGGGAGCGGACGCAGCGAUUUGCUCCCCUUCGCGCAGCAACCCCCACACCCAGCACCAGGAGCCUGUUCCUCUCACACCCUCACCUGGCUGAGCCGCAGUAGUUCUUCAGUGGCAAGCUUUAUGUCCUGACCCAGCUAAAGCUGCCAGUUGAAGAACUGUUGCCCUCUGCCCCUGGCUUCGAGGAGGAGGAGGAGCUGCUUUCCCCAUCAUCUGGAAGGUGACAGAAAUGGGCUGGGAAGGUCCGAACAGCAGGGUUGAUGAUACGUUUUGGGAAAGUUGUAGAGCCUUUGCCCAGAUUGGCCCAGCAAGGAGCGGUUUUAGAUUAGAGACACUGGCUGAAUUGAGGAGUAGAAGGCUCAAACAACCCAAGCGGCUACAGGAAGCUGUGUCUGUUCGAUUUGGUGGGAGGAGAUGUGCAGGGAGCUGUAUCUUAUCCUCCGCUUGUGAAAAACUCAAGGAUGUGGAGAAGAGUAGACCGUGGAACCCUGCCCUUCUGCAACCAAGCUGAGGGGCAGGAUGCGUAUGGGACAGUGGUAGAGAAGCAGGGGAUAGACGCAUAGG
rnacentral:lncRNA from 1 species